UCUCUUUCUGGGAUCAAUACACCUGUUGCUUAUUGGUCAGUGUCCCUGUGUCAGACACAGCACUCAGGGCACAGGUAACCCUAUCCCUGCUGUAAAUGUAAUAGUGUCCAGUCAGGGAUGCAUUCAGCAGGGGAAGGGGCACAAAAGUCACACUAUAGUUCGUAGCAACACUGAUGGGGUGCCACACCUGUAUCCUGUUCCGUCUUUGAUAUGGAAGCACCACGCAUAGCAUAUAUCUUGACUUUUGUAGGGUGGAUAGUGUUGGGUAUGAAACCCUGGCAGUCAGGACACAGACAGAGGGAUCCUGACAUCCAGAAUCCCAACACAUCGAGGUCCUGCGCUAUAUUCUUUUUUUCUUUUUGAGCCACACACAUUUGUUUGAAGAAAGAGUACAUCAGGAAAAGGUUACUGCUGCUCAAAGAGUUCAUAUGAAGUACCUGUUACAUUCUAUGCAGAUUGAAAUAGGAAUCCUCUUUGUCAUCUAAUACGGCGCCUGUGCCUUCUGACUCCGAGUGAGGGGAGGAUGCAGCCGUACCUGGGGCAGGAAAAGAGAAGGUUUGAAGAGAUACUGAAGGAUCGGUCACAGUAUUUGCAUCUGAAGCCAACAGACAAGAGUGAGUGAGACAACAUGAGAGACAUCAGAGCAGACUGCAUCAAACAUCCACAGCAAAUAUAACCACAUCCCAAUUGUUUCACCUUCGCCUGUAUCCUGCUUUUAAAAUAAUUCUUGGAUAAAUGUUAGAAAAUGUUUGUGGAAAUAACCAAGAAAAUGUUUCAUACCGAUAAGGUUGUUCUCCUGUGUGGGUGCGCAAAUGUCGAGUUAAGUUUGCCGAUCUUGGAAAGAUCUUUCCGCAGUACCUAAGGGAACAGAUGACAAAGAAAAACUUUUCUGUAUAUCUCUCUUUGCCUUUUCGAAGAAUGCUUUCCGGAAGGGCUGUUGGUGAACUUCGAAAAUUGAACAUUGAAGGAACAGACUGAAUAAGUUCAUUGGCUUCAGGUUUAAGAGCAUUAAAACUCUCCAACUUUUCUGCCAUGUUUUCUAUUGCUGACAUCUGAAAGAGAAAAUACAGAGUAUUAAAGCAACUGCAGAAUAUACAGUUAAUAGCUAAUAAACCAUACAAAUCUGAAAGGUUAGCAGCAGAAAAAUCAAAUAUGCAUUUCAUCAUUGGCUUGAAUAGUCCAUCAAAAGGAACCACAUACGUUUUAAAAUAAAUUAUAGAAAUCUGCCCAUUUUAUAGAAUCGUAGACUCGGUUAAAUCUGUGGUUAUAUCCAACAUAUAAUAAUCUAAUAGUAAAGUAAUAUAAUAACACAAUAGUAGAGCUGUACCACAGUAAUAUAAAAACCCUUCAAAAACACAACACCAAGUCUUUUGUAAUGAUAAAAUAUUUGUACUUUAUGACACACACAAUAAAAAACAUUGUGUGCAUUUCUACAAGGUAAUGUAACAUAUAUUUAAAACCAAAAGGCAAUAAAAAAGUUGAAAAGAAACUCAGACACCCAAUUAA